AUCGAACGCUAGCGGCAGGCUUAACACAUGCAAGUCGAGCGGAGAUGAGGUGCUUGCACCUCAUCUUAGCGGCGGACGGGUGAGUAAUGCUUAGGAAUCUGCCUAUUAGUGGGGGACAACAUUCCGAAAGGAAUGCUAAUACCGCAUACGUCCUACGGGCGAAAGCAGGGGAUCUUCGGACCUUGCGCUAAUAGAUGAGCCUAAGUCGGAUUAGCUAGUUGGUGGGGUAAAGGCCUACCAAGGCGACGAUCUGUAGCGGGUCUGAGAGGAUGAUCCGCCACACUGGGACUGAGACACGGCCCAGACUCCUACGGGAGGCAGCAGUGGGGAAUAUUGGACAAUGGGGGGAACCCUGAUCCAGCCAUGCCGCGUGUGUGAAGAAGGCCUUAUGGUUGUAAAGCACUUUAAGCGAGGAGGAGGCUACUGAGACUAAUACUCUUGGAUAGCGGACGUUACUCGCAGAAUAAGCACCGGCUAACUCUGUGCCAGCCGCCGCAGUAA
rnacentral:rRNA from 1 species